rnacentral:rRNA from 1 species
UACGUAGGGGGCAAGCGUUGUCCGGAUUUAUUGGGCGUAAAGAGCGUGUAGGCGGCUAUACAGGUCCGUUGUGAAAACUCGAGGCUCAACCUCGAGACGCCGAUGGAAACCGUAUGGCUAGAGUCCGGAAGAGGAGAGCGGAAUUCCUGGUGUAGCGGUGAAAUGCGUAGAUAUCGGGAGGAACACCUGAGGCGAAGGCGGGCUACUGGGCUGAUACUGACGCUGAGGCGCGAAAGCGUGGGGAGCGAUCCGG